GACAGAGGUGCCGAGCGUUAGGCGGAAUCACUGGGCUUAAAGCGUGUGUAGGCGGGCGGCCAAGUACCUUGUGAAAUCCCACGGCUCAACCGUGGAACUGCUGGGUAUACUGGUCGUCUUGAGCCAAUCAGGGGCGAGCGGAACAGACGGUGGAGCGGUGAAAUGCGUAGAUAUCGGGAGGAACACCGGUGGCGAAGGCGGUUCUCUGGGCCUGUACUGACGCUGAGGAGCGAAAGCGUGGGGAGCGAACAGG
rnacentral:rRNA from 1 species